rnacentral:rRNA from 1 species
CGUAGGUGGCAAGCGUUGUCCGGAUUUAUUGGGUUUAAAGGGUGCGUAGGCGGUCUUGUAAGUCAGUGGUGAAAUACGGCAGCUUAACUGUCGAGGUGCCAUUGAUACUGCAGGACUUGAGUACAGACGAGGUAGGCGGAAUUGACGGUGUAGCGGUGAAAUGCUUAGAUAUCGUCAAGAACACCGAUAGCGAAGGCAGCUUACUAGACUGUAACUGACGCUGAUGCACGAAAGUGUGGGGAUCAAACAGGAUUAGAUACCCUGGUAGUCCACACUGUAAACGAUGAUUACUCGAUGUUGGCGAUACAUAGCCAGCGUCUUAGCGAAAGCGAUAAGUAAUCCACCUGGGGAGUACGCCGGCAACGGUG